rnacentral:misc_RNA from 1 species
UGUGGGAGCGGGCUUGCUCGCGAAAGCGGUGUGUCAGUCAAUCCAUCAAAGACUGAUCCACCGCUUUCGCGAGCAAGCCCGCUCCCACA